rnacentral:tRNA from 1 species
GACCCUAUCGUCUAGUCGGCCUAGGACUCAGCCCUUUCAAGGCUGUAACACGGGUUCGAAUCCCGUUAGGGUCGCCA